CAAAUAUGUGCCGUAUUACAAAAAUUAAUGGCUAAUUGUAAAUUUUGUCCGACUCUGUGACGGAGUUCAGCGGCCGGCAGCCUGCUGCCUGGCCACCUG